ensembl:lncRNA
GCCUUUUAAAGAAUGCUGGAAGUUUUACUGAACCUCAGCGCGUUCCUCCAUGAGUAAAAUGCGCUUGACUUGUGUGGUUUGCUCUCUUUCCAGGGUUAAAUUAUCCGACAAGAUCGUCGUCUCCUGAUGCACGUGGCACUAUACCCCCCCUUCGUCUGUGGCGUUGCGUUCACCUGCGACUUACUGGAAGAUACUCUAUUGCUUGCGGCCACCCAUACAAAAAAAUACGCUUUUGUCUACGGUUUCGUCCUCUUUCUUGAACUGUUUUACAUUUGUUCUGCUUGAUUUUAUUGUUCGAGGUUCAUAAGCUGUUUUGGGGCAAAGGAUAAAGGCAGAGGGGGUUACUGUGUUUUUGAGGUGUUAUUCUAUUUUGAAAUGACGCAGUACUCCUAAGGGCUCUAUGUUGGCCUAAGACCUAACAUAAAAUUUCUUCCUUCAUAAAAUAAUUUUCAUGGAUACAAACCCUCUAAACUGUGAUAUUCAUGAAGGGACUAUUUGAAUGUUAAUUAAAUAGCAAUCCAUGUAAUUUUGGUAAACAUGAAUGUUACGAAGAUUCUGCAGAUGUCUUUUUCAGAGCUGUACCUAGCUUCAGUUUGAUUAAUAAACCACACACUCAUUUGCAUAAUUAGUCCAACAACGUGUUAGUGUAAUAUCGCUUUAACGGGUGUGAUCUUGGUUUUGGGUGGUACUUACCAGUAUUCAAGACGUUUUGCGACGCAACUGUUAGCGUAGUGAUUUAACUACCUAUGCAAAUUUGAUUUGUUAGACAUUUUGUGUUCAAUUAUAUGCCGAUUUACAUACCUAGAUACCCCAAAGCUGCGUUUUAUGUAUGGUUUUCUUUUCUUUACAGAUGCCAUUUUUGAUUUCAAAGCUUUUUAAUAAACAGAUUUGAACUAUCGUCACUUUGAACUUCCCCAUCUUUCCUCGUUAUUAUAGGCGUUUCAUGACGAUGCUCAUUGCAGUCAGUGAAAGCCAAUAUGCAGCAGCACUAACUUAAUCUAUGGCAUUUCGG